AUGCACGCUGGCGGCGUGCCUCAUACCUGCCAGUCGAGCGCACGGACGAGAAGCUUGCUUCUCUGAUGUUAGCGGCGGACGGGUGAGUAACACGUGGAUAACCUACCUAUAAGACUGGGAUAACUUCGGGAAACCGGAGCUAAUACCGGAUAAUAUUUUGAACCGCAUGGUUCAAAAGUGAAAGACGGUCUUGCUGUCACUUAUAGAUGGAUCCGCGCUGCAUUAGCUAGUUGGUAAGGUAACGGCUUACCAAGGCAACGAUGCAUAGCCGACCUGAGAGGGUGAUCGGCCACACUGGAACUGAGACACGGUCCAGACUCCUACGGGAGGCAGCAGUAGGGAAUCUUCCGCAAUGGGCGAAAGCCUGACGGAGCAACGCCGCGUGAGUGAUGAAGGUCUUCGGAUCGUAAAACUCUGUUAUUAGGGAAGAACAUAUGUGUAAGUAACUGUGCACAUCUUGACGGUACCUAAUCAGAAAGCCACGGCUAACUACGUG
rnacentral:rRNA from 1 species